rnacentral:rRNA from 1 species
CCUACGGGAGGCAGCAGUGGGGAAUAUUGGGCAAUGGAGGAAACUCUGACCCAGCAACGCCGCGUGAAUGAUGAAGGUCUUCGGAUUGUAAAGUUCUUUUCUAAGGGAAGAAGAAAGUGACGGUACCUUAGGAAUCAGCCUCGGCUAACUACGUGCCAGCAGCCGCGUUAAUACGUAGGAGGCGAGCGUUAUCCGGAAUGACUGGGCGUAAAGGGUGCGUAGGUGGUUUGGCAAGUUAGUAGCGUAACUCCAAGGCUCAACCUUGGAACUACUACUAAAACUGUUGGACUUGAGUGCAGGAGGGGCAGCCGGAAUUCCUAGUGUAGCGGUGGAAGGCGUAGAUAUUAGGAGGAACACCAGUGGCGAAGGCGGGUUGCUGGACUGUAACUGACACUGAGGCACGAAAGCGUGGGGAGCAAACAGGAUUAGAUACCCGGGUAGUC